rnacentral:misc_RNA from 1 species
AAGGAGUCUAACAUGCUUGCGAGUAUUUGGGUGUCUAACCCGGAUGCGUAAUGAAAGUGAAUGGAGGUGGGAAGCGCAAGCUGCACCAUCGACCGAUCUGGAUUUUCUAAGAUGGAUUUGAGUAAGAGCACGUAUGUUGGGACCCGAAAGAUGGUGUACUAUGCCUGAAUAGGGCGAAGCCAGAGGAAACUCUGGUGGAGGCUCGUAGCGGUUCUGACGUGCAAAUCGAUCGUCAAAUUUGGGUAUAGGGGCGAAAGACUAAUCGAACCAUCUAGUAGCUGGUUCCUGC